rnacentral:rRNA from 1 species
GGCUCAGAUUGAACGCUGGCGGCAUGCCUUACACAUGCAAGUCGAACGGCAGCACGGGAGCUUGCUCCUGGUGGCGAGUGGCGAACGGGUGAGUAAUACAUCGGAACGUACCCUGAAGUGGGGGAUAACGUAGCGAAAGUUACGCUAAUACCGCAUAUUCUGUGAGCAGGAAAGCAGGGGACCGCAAGGCCUUGCGCUCUUUGAGCGGCCGAUGUCAGAUUAGCUAGUUGGUGAGGUAACGGCUUACCAAGGCGACGAUCUGUAGCGGGUCUGAGAGGAUGAUCCGCCACACUGGAACUGAGACACGGUUCAGACUCCUACAGGAGGCAGCAGUGGGGAAUUUUGGACAAUGGGCGCAAGCCUGAUCCAGCCAUGCCGCGUGAGUGAAGAAGGCCUUCGGGUUGUAAAGCUCUUUCGGCCGGGAAGAAAUCGCAUGGGUUAAUACCCUGUGUGGAUGACGGUACCGGAAUAAGAAGCACCGGCUAACUACGUG